UACGUAGGGGGCAAGCAUUGUCCGGAAUCAUUGGGCGUCAAGAGCGUGUAGGCGGCCCGAUAAGUCCGCUGUGAAAUCUCGAGGCUCAACUUCGAGCUGUCGGUGGAAACUGUCUGGCUAGAGUCCGGAAGAGGAGAAUGGAAUUCCUGGUGUAGCGGUGAAAUGCGCAGAUAUCAGGAAGAACACCCGUGGCGAAGGCGGUUCUCUGGGACGGUACUGACGCUGAGACGCGAAAGCGUGGGGAGCGAACAGG
rnacentral:rRNA from 1 species